AUGCAUGCUUACAAAAUGUCAGUAUUACUAGCAAAAGAUGAAGUGAUAUACACACACACACAUCUAUUUUCUGUGCAGAAGACAGACCUGAAGAAGAGACCUCAGUCUGGGAACUCCUCCACCUCCAAGAGCACCUCUCCCACCCUGACCCCAUCGCCAUCCUCAAGCCUGCCCUGGGGGACUCCCUGUCCUCCGCCUCCUCCCACCCACACUCCAAGAGCAGUGGCGGCUCCAGUAGUGGCACCAUCACCGACGAGGGUGAGCCUGGGCAUCUGUGGUUGGGGAGAGAGAGGCAGAUUUUGCAGUAGACCAUCCACAACUUUCAGUCCUCCUUUGACAGCAGUGCCAGUAACCCCAGACCACCAGGACAUCCAUGCUGUGAGUGUUAUGACGUCACAAACCCCUAACCAGGAUGCAGGACACAUGGUUUCUGAAUCCAAUAUUACACAUGUUAAAAUCCCAUCUAUAAACCUAUGUCUCCAUCACUUCCUUAAGUUGCAUUCACAGCCUGACUGUAAUUAGUAGGCAUAUAUGAUAAUCAUUCUGUUCUGUAGUUCCUACAGGCUGGGUCCGACACCAGGUGUGCACCUCUAACAAGAGGUAACAGGCAUGACACUCCGAUUGAAGACCAACUGUAUAGGAUCCAGGGUUGGGGUCACGACUGGGAGGCGACCUGCUGCUUACCGACAUAGCACAAAGUAAUGUGCAGCCAUCCUUUAUUGCCAUGGCAACAGGGCUGUCAUAGGGGAGAUACAGUAGAGUGAGUGAGCGGGUACUAGGAAAGAAAAUGCCUAGUCUUGCCUUAAUGGCUAGUCUUGCAUUAAUAAGUGCUUCUACACCUGCAUUGCUUGCUGUUUGGGGUUUUAGGCUGGGUUUCUGUACAGCACUUUGAGAUAUCAGCUGAUGUAAGAAGGGCUAUAUAAAUACAUUUGAUUUGAUUUGAAUGGAUGUGGGAGAUGAAAGCCUUUAGGCUGAGAUUGAGACAGUUGCGACAAGCGCUGAUGAUGUACGAGAGAGUGAGUACUAAGUGAGAACGGACCUUCAGGCCCAGUUUCCUAGACACAGAUUACGUCUAGUCAUGGACUAAAAAGUACAUCCAAUUGAGAAUCUCUAUUAAAUAUGCUUCUGAAUCCAGGACUAGUCUUAAUCUGUGUCUGGGAAACUGGCCUGUAAUGUCUUAAUGAAUGUGGGAGAUAAAGGUUUAAAAGGCUGGAAUUAAGAUUGUCGCACACUGAUGAUGUAAGUGAUUCAUCAUUCUGGCAAACCAGAAUUCCUCCAGAGGGAAGAUUGUCCUCAUUUUUGGUUUUAUGUCUGAUUUUCUCUUUUUCUACAUUCACUACUGUAAGUGUUGUUACUUGUACUAAGUCUAGUGAUUUGUGUGUGUAAACAAAGUAGGUUUUAUUCUGAUGAUGAACUGCCAU
rnacentral:lncRNA from 8 species